GAGGGUGCAGCAGAGUUCCGUUAAUUUGCAUUUAAACUUAUGAUAGAUUCGAUUCUGGUCUUUUAAUUCGCUGUCAUUUAAUGAUAUAUGUUUAUAUUGGAUUCUUAAUGAUGAAUUAAACAAUUUGUAAAAUUCUUUAUUAUUGGGGGGUCCUCGAGAGAGUUAUUUGAUUAGAACUAACUAAUUUUGUGCCAGCAGUUGCGGUUAAACAAUUGGUUCGAGUGAAUUGUUUAUUGGGAAGUACUUUAAAUCUUUUGUUGGAAUUGCUUUUAUUGAAUUUUGGGUGGAAUCUUAUUUAAUAAAGGUUAUUUUUGUUGAUUAUUGUACGAAAGUCAUAAUUAUAAACUAGGAUUAGAUACCCUAUUAUUGUGAUUGUAAAUUCUUAAUUCUCUAUUAUUAAUAGGUGAUCUUUAAAUUAAAAGAAUUUGGCGGUAAUUUAAUCCUUUUAGAGGAACCUGCCUCAUUAUUGAUAUGCCACGAUGUAUUUGACUCUUUGCUUUGCUUGUAUACCUCUAUGGAGAAUGUCUUAAUAGGGUAUUUUCUUUUUCAUUAAUUUGAAUAAUUUUAGGUCAAGGUGCAGCUAUGCAUGAGGAGGUGGUGGGUUACAGUUUGUUUAUGCUUGGAUGGAUAAUUUUAUGUAAAUAAUUCUGAAAUUGGAUUUAAAAGUAAUUUUUAUUAUAAUAUAAUAGUGAAUAGGGCUCUAAUUUAUGUACACAUCGCCCGUCACUCCCACUUUAAAGUGGGAUAAGUCGUAACAAAGUAGAUCUACCGGAAGGUGGAUCUGGAUUGU
rnacentral:ncRNA from 1 species